CGCUGUCUGGAGACAAAGCCGAGCGCCAAGAGAAAGAGGCCAAGACUCGAAUGUAUUUCAGACAAGACCCCGAGGACUGAGUCAGACUUCUGCACAGAACACCGAGUCUAAUUUUAGAUGACUCGACUCGACUUAGCCCUUUAAGCUCUGCCAGUUAGUUUUGGUUACGUGUCAUUGUUUAAAGUUUAAAUAUUCUUUGCAUUUUUUUUUUCCUCCAAGAGUGCAGUUAAAUUAGAUGCUGGUCGAAAGGACAAGUUAUUUGUGGAUGUAUGUGCCUCCCCCAUUAGGCUUCGCUGCCUGCGACUUUCUGAAGCCGCCUGGGAAGUUUCCUUCCUGGGAGGACUCUUGGCUCUCUUUCUCCGGACAGUGUGUGUGGGGGUUCCCAGAGGUAUUGUGGAUCUUGGAAGAGUAAAAAAGGGCCCAGGCCACUUGAUCAAAGAUCAGAAGUUCAAAGACGGCCAAGGUGGUGCAUAACUGCAUGAAGGUCAACUCUAAAAUAUGUGCGAACAUGUUGUUCGCCAUUUAUUAAGCUCUAUGCAGAGGCAUUUUUUU